AAAUCAAACCCCUUGUAUCCAAAGUUCUCAUAUUUUUUCAAGAGAGUGACUAUUAUGUUGGAUCAGAGAUUAUAUCCUGAUAAUCAUAUGAUUGUAUGGGAGCAUUCUCGAACACCAGCAACUCAUGAGGGUUUUGAAGUAAAGAGAAGGGGGGAUAAAGAGUUUACAGUGACAAUACGGCUGGGAAUGAACUAUUUGCCUGAGAAAUUUAAGCUCUCUCCAGCUUUGAUGGAAGUUCUUGGUAUUGAGGUUGACACCCGUCCAAGAAUAAUAGCUGC
rnacentral:misc_RNA from 1 species